UAGGGAAUCUUCCACAAUGGACGCAAGUCUGAUGGAGCAACGCCGCGUGAGUGAAGAAGGUUUUCGGACCGUAAAGCUCUGUUGCUGGUGAAGAAGGAUAGAGGUAGUAACUGGCCUUUAUUUGACGGUAAUCAACCAGAAAGUCACGGCUAACUACGUGCCAGCAGCCGCGGUAAUACGUAGGUGGCAAGCGUUGUUCGGAUUUAUUGGGCGUAAAGCGAGCGCAGGCGGAAGAAUAAGUCUGAUGUGAAAGCCCUCGGCUUAACCGAGGAAUUGCAUCGGAAACUGUUUUCUUGAGUGCAGAAGAGGAGAGUAGAACUCCAUGUGUAGCGGUGGAAUGCGUAGAUAUAUGGAAGAAUACCAGUGGCGAAGGCGGCUCUCUGGUCUGCAACUGACGCUGAGGCUCGAAAGCAUGGGUAGCGAACAGGAUUAGAUACCCUGGUAGUCCAUGCCGUAAACGAUGAGUGCUAAGUGUUGGGAGGCUUCCGCCUCUCAGUGCUGCAGCUAACGCAUUAAGCACUCCGCCUGGGGGAGUACGACCGCAAGGUUGAAAC
rnacentral:rRNA from 1 species